AACGAACGCUGGCGGCAUGCCUAACACAUGCAAGUCGAGCGAUCUUCUUCGGAAGAGAGCGGCGGACGGGUGAGUAACGCGUGGGUAACCUGCCCUGUACACACGGAUAACAUACCGAAAGGUAUGCUAAUACGAGAUAAUAUGCUUUUAUCGCAUGGUAGAAGUAUCAAAGCUUUUGUGGUACAGGAUGGACCCGCGUCUGAUUAGCUAGUUGGUAAGGUAACGGCUUACCAAGGCGACGAUCAGUAGCCGACCUGAGAGGGUGAUCGGCCACAUUGGAACUGAGACACGGUCCAAACUCCUACGGGAGGCAGCAGUGGGGAAUAUUGCACAAUGGGCGAAAGCCUGAUGCAGCAACGCCGCGUGAGCGAUGAAGGCCUUCGGGUCGUAAAGCUCUGUCCUCAAGGAAGAUAAUGACGGUACUUGAGGAGGAAGCCCCGGCUAACUACGUGCCAGCAGCCGCGGUAACUAGUCUACG
rnacentral:rRNA from 1 species